CAGCAGCCGCGGUAAAACGUAGGGUGCAAGCGUUAAUCGGAAUUACUGGGCGUAAAGCGUGCGCAGGCGGUUUGUUAAGACAGAUGUGAAAUCCCCGGGCUCAACCUGGGAACUGCAUUUGUGACUGGCAAGCUAGAGUGUGGCAGAGGGGGGUGGAAUUCCGCGUGUAGCAGUGAAAUGCGUAGAUAUGCGGAGGAACACCGAUGGCGAAGGCAGCCCCCUGGGCCAACACUGACGCUCAUGCACGAAAGCGUGGGGAGCAAACAGGAUUAGAUACCCCCGUAGUCCCUGUCUCUUAUAC
rnacentral:rRNA from 1 species